rnacentral:rRNA from 1 species
UACAGAGGUCCCAAGCGUUGUUCGGAUUCAUUGGGCGUAAAGGGUGUGUAGGUGGCGCCGUAAGUCGGGUGUGAAAUCUCGGGGCUUAACUCCGAAACUGCAUUCGAUACUGCGGUGCUUGAGGACUGGAGAGGAGACUGGAAUUCAUGGUGUAGCAGUGAAAUGCGUAGAGAUCAUGAGGAAGACCAGUGGCGAAGGCGGUCUUCUGGACGGUGACUGACGCUGAGGCGCGAAAGCGUGGGGAGCAAACGGG